UUCCUAGGACUCUCUAAAGUCCUCUAAGAUGCCACCACUCCUUUGUGCUUCCAUGGAGCUUCCACCAACUCCUAGACCACUCCGGAACCUUCUAGAACCUUCCAUAGCGCAAGAUUGUGCUUCCAUGGCCUGACGUGUUCUUGGCAUUGUCUUGGCCACUCUUCCACAUGCACCCUCGUGCUCCCACGAUACUCCUAGGCCUUCCAUCAUGCCAAGAUCCUUGUGAACAUGUUCCAUGCCCGACCAUGCCGAGGUGUGAUACCA
rnacentral:lncRNA from 1 species